GACGAACGCUGGCGGCGUGCUUAACACAUGCAAGUCGAACGGAAAGGCCCUGCUUUUGUGGGGUGCUCGAGUGGCGAACGGGUGAGUAACACGUGAGUCACCUGCCCUUGACUUUGGGAUAACUUCAGGAAACUGGGGCUAAUACCGGAUAGGAGCUCCUGCUGCAUGGUGGGGGUUGGAAAGUUUCGGCGGUUGGGGAUGGACUCGCGGCUUAUCAGCUUGUUGGUGGGGUAGUGGCUUACCAAGGCUUUUACGGGUAGCCGGCCUGAGAGGGUGACCGGCCACAUUGGGACUGAGAUACGGCCCAGACUCCUACGGGAGGCAGCAGUGGGGAAUAUUGCACAAUGGGCGGAAGCCUGAUGCAGCAACGCCGCGUGCGGGAUGACGGCCUUCGGGUUGUAAACCGCUUGCGCCUGUGACGAAGCGUGAGUGACGGUAAUGGGUAAAGAAGCACCGGCUAACUACGUG
rnacentral:rRNA from 1 species